rfam:Bombyx mori DNA, contig: Bm_scaf2_contig1503, strain: p50T/Dazao, build 2, whole genome shotgun sequence.
UUAACUCAAAUUUGUAUGGAGUUGGAACGUUUGUCUACGUUUGCCACUGGGGGCACUGUUGCAACUGCGUACAAAUUUGAGUUA